rnacentral:rRNA from 1 species
UGGGGAACAUUGGACAAUGGGCGAAAGCCUGACCCAGCAACGCCGCGUGAAGGAUGAAGUAUUUCGGUAUGUAAACUUCGAAAGAAUAGGAAGAAUAAAUGACGGUACUAUUUAUAAGGUCCGGCUAACUACGUGCCAGCAGCCGCGGUAAUACGUAGGGACCAAGCGUUGUUCGGAUUUACUGGGCGUAAAGGGCGCGUAGGCGGCAAUUCAAGUCAUCUGUGAAAUCUCCGGGCUUAACUCGGAACGGUCAGAUGAUACUGCUUUGCUAGAGUGCAGAAGGGGCAAUCGGAAUUCUUGGUGUAGCGGUGAAAUGCGUAGAUAUCAAGAGGAACACCUGAGGUGAAGACGGGUUGCUGGGCUGACACUGACGCUGAGGCGCGAAAGCCAGGGGAGCAAACGGGAUUAGAUACCCAAGUAGUCCCUGAGCGGGCUGGCAAGGCGCAU